rnacentral:lncRNA from 10 species
GUAACAGUGAGCAAGCCAGAGACAGGGAGAGAGCUCUGCUUCUGGUUUCCUGAUGAGACCCUGACUGAUCCAGAAGAGACGGUGCCUAUACUAGUCAAGGGCAGGAACCUCCAGGCUGAGGAGCUGGACUCUGUACCUGUCUUCUUUGUCUCACUGCAUCGGGCUGUGCCCUGAGCCUCAUCUUCAGAAAAUGGAGGGAAGUAAGUCCUGGGUGACCGCAGGAUCCCUGUAGCACAGCUCCCCCAAGGUCUUAAUGAAGUGCCAUUACACCUCUCAGCUAAUAUAAUCCCCAGGAAAGGGGCAGGGCAGACAGAUGGCAGAGAGGGAGACUGAGUCAUACUCACUAGCUAGGCCACACAGCUAGUUAGAAAUAGAAGCAGGCCUGGGACUCUUCCUCCCAAUAUUCCGCCCCCUUCCACAAAGACCCAGAGGCUCCCUGCCUCCUCCCUACUUUUAAUUCGAAAGGUAAUAGUUCCCACACUAUUAACUAGCUGUGUGAACUUUCUCAUGUUACUUUUCUCUGAGCCUUGGUUAUCUCAUUGGUUAAGUGAAGCAGGUAAACUAGAUGUUCUCAAAGUGCUUUUUCAGCUAUGACAUGCUGUGAUUUGAUGAUUUUUCCUCAAUGAAACCAAAGGGUUCAAUUUAUCUCCCCGAAGAUUUUCUAUGUUCUAUGCUCAGCUUUUGAUUUGACAUAAUUAUAGCACUUACAUUUAGUGCAAAUUCACAUAAUCAUUGCAUGAGUUAUUAAUUAUUUUUAAGCAUUGGCAUAGUACUCACUGAACCUGAGGAUGUACACAUUGGUUAGGACCAGGGGUGAGUUAAGCAACCAGAGGUCUGGGACUGCAGUUAACCUAUCAAGCCAGGGAGUUCAUGGAACUUAAGUCUGGUUAAACCAAAAAGGGGCCAGGGAUUCUAAGGCCAUGUUGUGUACUGAUGAGCUACUUUAAUCUGCCUAAUCCUACAGAGUGAUGUACAGAUCUGUGAUAGGUUUAGCAUGAACAUACUUUCAAUGUAUGUCUUAAUUUUGUUUGUGCUUAGCCUUCUAAAAAAAAAAGGUAUUUUGCCAAAAAGUGGCAAAACUGUUAAUUAGCCCAUUCCCCACAGCCUGGAAAAACAUGGAGCUUACACUGGGUUUUGUCCUCCAUGUAACAAAAGCCUUAGCUUUCGGGAGGAGGGAAGGAAACCAUCUGGGACCAGACUAAGAGGAAUCUCCUUCUGCUGGGAGACGGGCAGAUCACAACACCCAGGGACAAGGCUAAGGCACAAGCACACAAGGAAGGCCUAAGGCUAAGAGUGAAGCAGAAACACUGAGAAAAACCCUCUGGCAACCCAGCCUCCAUCUUAAGAAUAAGAAAAUGCUAGAGGAAUUUAAAGCUGGUGGUGCACUGAAGAUAAAACCCAAACCUAGAGCAGCAAAACCCAAAUCCAAGUCAACUUCUGACUAGAUUGACUCAACCACCCACAUCAAGGGGCAAACUUUGUCUACAAAGGACCAGUAUAUAGCAAAUAUUUUAGGUGUUGUGGGCCAUGUGGGCUCUGUUGCAACUAUUCAACUCUGCUGUUGAAGCAUGAAAGCAGCCAUAGACAAUAUGUAAAUGAAUGAACAUGGUUAUGUUCCAAUAAAUCUUUAUUUAUAGACACUGAAAUUUGAGUUUUAUAUAAUUGUCUUAUGUUGUAUAAUUACUAUUCUUCUUUUGAUAUCCAUUUGA